CCUGGUGGCUCAGGGUUAAAGUAUCUGCCUGCAAUGCAGGAGACCUGGGUUCGAUCCCUGGGUCAGGA
rnacentral:tRNA from 1 species